CGUGAGCGGCGGACGGGUGAGUAACGCGUGGGUAACCUGCCUCAUACAGGGGGAUAACAGUUGGAAACGGCUGCUAAUACCGCAUAAGCGCACAGUACCGCAUGGUACCGUGUGAAAAACUCCGGUGGUAUGAGAUGGACCCGCGUCUGAUUAGCUAGUUGGUGGGGUAACGGCCUACCAAGGCGACGAUCAGUAGCCGACCUGAGAGGGUGACCGGCCACAUUGGGACUGGGACACGGCCCAA
rnacentral:rRNA from 1 species